UAAUCCUCAGCUCCCUCCUGUGGUCAAUAGGUGUAUCCGCAUUAAUGAAAUAAACACGCACAGGGUGGACGCACAGUCAGUCGAGUGAACACUGAAGACAGAUUAAGGGGAUUUCUAUGAUAUUCCAGGAUAUUUUACAACAGAUUUGACUUUGUGAUUGUCUCGGCCAGCAGAAGAUCGAGAUCAGCUUUAACCUGAUGGAGUAAAACAGGUGAACUGGAAAGCUCAUGUAAACACUGGCAGCGAUGAAUGGACAAUCCUCCGAGACUCUGGAUCUCGACUCAAGAGUUUUUACUGAACGCCUCUUCCUCUGCUUCAGUAAUGAAGAUGUAAAGCUCUGAGUCUCUGGAUGGUUCAGGAUGGAUGAGUCUCUGGCUUCUACAGACCUGUGAUGACCAUUCAUUUCCAGCACAGGUUAAACCACAGUCAAACUUCAUGAGGACUGAUCAUUCAUCAUGCAUUUACGGAUGUGUCGGUUAAACGGUUUUGGUGUUGUCGUGGCAACAGGCGACCGUCAUGAAGCUGAGACGCAUACGCCGCCUAGUGGACCUGAUGGAGAACUGCGUUUGCUGGCAAUACUCCAUUACUUUGUGCUCUGGGCAAAAUAAUUUGACGAGACAUAAGUGUGAGAAUUGGAGAUUCAUAUUCAUAAAUUGGCAUCUAAUCAAACUAAUCUCUGAUUUAUUUAUUCAGGAGCAGAAUCAUGUUGAGUGAACGCAUCAAAACUGGACAAAAUAUCUUCUAGUACUCUUUUAAUGUGUCUUCGUGUCAAGUUUGUUUCACUUUUGUCUUUGAUGAUGUUAAUCACUUGGUUGACUAAUUUAAGUUGCUGAAUCACUGUUGGCAGAUUUAAGCAGCAUUUGUAGUAAACUUUGACUGAUUACUGAAUGCAUACGACAUGUUUCGACAAAUAAAGUCUGUGUUAUAUAAUGAAUAUUAAUCAUUUGUUUGCGUUUAUAACAUAAGCUUUAUUUAUUACAGAAAGAUGCAUUAGGGUCAGAUCAGUGUUUCAGCUCCAUCUUGUGGACAAUAAGUGGAUCUGCAUUAAUACUUGAAACUGAAUUACUAAGACAUUUUUUCCAUUAGGAGAAAUCCUGAUCCUGAAGAUCCACUUUCCAGAGUGAAGCUCCAACCUGAUGAAAACACCUGAGGCUUUUAAUUAAGGACUUUCAGCAAACGAGAAGCUUCAAGGCAAAUGUGUGACAAACUCUGUAAUUCAGAUGAUGAUAAUAAAAGAUUGAUUUGACUAAACUGAUGAUGCUUUUACAAAUCGUGUAUGUGUUUCACUGUGAGUUUGAGUUAAUAAAAAGUGAUUUAAAAGUA